rnacentral:tRNA from 1 species
AAGAGAGUGCAAUAAUAGAACUGCUAAUUCUAUUUUUCCAUAUAUAAAAAUAUGGCUCUCUUG